rnacentral:rRNA from 1 species
AGCGAACGCUGGCGGCAGGCUUAACACAUGCAAGUCGAGCGCCCCGCAAGGGGAGCGGCAGACGGGUUAGUAACACGUGGGAACGUACCCUUUGGUUCGGAACAACCCAGGGAAACUUGGACUAAUACCGGAUACGUCCGUAAUGAGAAAGAUUUAUCGCCAAAGGAUCGGCCCGCGUCUGAUUAGCUAGUUGGUGAGGUAAUGGCUCACCAAGGCUACGAUCAGUAGCUGGUCUGAGAGGAUGAUCAGCCACAUUGGGACUGAGACACGGCCCAAGCUCCUACGGGAGGCAGCAGUGGGGAAUAUUGGACAAUGAGGGCAACCCUGAUCCAGCCAUGCCGCGUGAGUGAUGAAGGCCCUAGGGUUGUAAAGCUCUUUUAGCAGGGAAGAUAAUGACGGUACCUGCAGAAAAAGCCCCGGCUAACUUCGUGCCAGCCGCCGCAGUAA